GCACAGACGCACCCGCUACGGUCUGAGCCAGGGCCCACGCAUUCCGUGCUGCAAUCGGCGUAGUGUUCGAACCGUAUUUCAGAGCUGUGUGCACCGCCGAUGAGCUGUCAUUUCUUGUGCACACCUGAAACCUCCUGCCAGCUGCGGAAGAAACGGGGAAGGCAAGAGAUGGAAGAGCAAGGCGACAAGAACAAGGUAAAAGCGGGAGCCAACUUUUCAACGAGACAAGUGGAUAAGUCCACUUGUCGAAACGUUGGCUCCCGCUUUUACGUUGUUCUCGUUUUUCUUCUGCCAGCUGCUAUGUCCUCGCAAGAUGAUGACACUGCAGGGCACCAUCUUGGAGCACCGCAAAGUCGUGAGAGUCGACAAAGGUGUGCCUCUCCCCAUGGCUCCAAGGCAUCCUUUCACAAUUUCCAGCAUCAGUCCGGAGCCAGUUCGGUGCAAUAACUGAAACCAUAUGGUUGGUCGCAAGGCUUUUUGCUGCACGAUAGUUGUAGGCUCGGACAACAGAGUUUACAUGUCCGCACAACCUUGGGCAUCUACCAAAAACAGUGCAGCAAAGAGCCACAAUCCGGCUAACAAGAAACACCUCAAGACGACUGACGCACCCAUUGAGCUCUGCGAUGUCACGGGCACCGUCUCGAAAUUGUUAAUGCUUUAUGGAUUUGUUGAUUUGGUACACCCACUUCGAGCUAGUGUGUUUUUUUUGUUUUUGUUUUGGCAAGAGGUUCUUCGAAAACAUUGGCACCAUGACCUACCAAAAUUGGGGCUCAAACUAGGCGAUGCAGUCAUAAUAGAUUCCGUAAAAAGUCAGCCAGGCCAGAGUGCCAAGUAUCAGGUCACUCAUAUAGAACUACUGAGAAAAAUGGCUCAUACGAGCAACCCCGCACCGAAGCAAGCAGCAUACCAACAAGGUAGCAACGGCAUCGAAAAUCGAUUUCCUGGCACAAUCCAAGCCACACAUAUCUAAUAUUUGGUGAAGACAUCAAAGAGUGUACCUACUUGUCUAUUGAUAACAUUGAAAUCUCCCUGCUUCAGCCAAAAAAGAGCCUGAAUGACCUGUUUAGCAUUGGGGACAAGGUUCACUUUGAUGCCCAGUGAAAUCCAAAGCUGACCAGCUACGCCAAGUGGUGGGCCACCAACGUCAACAAAAUGCAAAGUACCGAACUUGCCCAUGCCAACGACAGCAGAGACGAGGCUUUUCUAUUCAACAACAAUAUCGCUGAGCUUCUGCUUGACCCAAAAGUAUGGGUCUGGUAUCCGCUGUUGAACCCAACGUCAUUGUCCUAGUGCCAGACACAGUGGCGUACUGCAACGGAAGGAAGAUCAGGUCAUUCAGCGAGCUGUUGAAGGACAGUGCUGUCCUAGAAGAUUUAGAUUUGUUUCUAGACGCCGUCGAAGUGAAACACGACAUGUGGGUAGUGACGCUCAUGUGGACUACUGAACAACCCGAGCACCCACCAGUCGAGCAGAGCGAAAGCGCGUUUCACAACGCCCUCGCCCUCCCUAUGAGCUAAAUGCCCACGGGCACGCGUGACCUAGAAGCGGGAGACCUCGGCAUCUUCA
rnacentral:lncRNA from 1 species